rnacentral:rRNA from 1 species
UACGGGGGGGGCAAGCGUUGUUCGGAAUUACUGGGCGUAAAGGGCGCGUAGGCGGCCUGCUAAGUCGAACGUGAAAUCCCCGGGCUCAACCCGGGAACUGCGUCCGAUACUGGUGGGCUUGAAUCCGGGAGAGGGAUGUGGAAUUCCAGGUGUAGCGGUGAAAUGCGUAGAUAUCUGGAGGAACACCGGUGGCGAAGGCGGCAUCCUGGACCGGUAUUGACGCUGAGGCGCGAAAGCCAGGGGAGCAAACAGG